rnacentral:tRNA from 1 species
GCUGAUAUAGCUCAGUCGGUAGAGCGCAUCCUUGGUAAGGAUGAGGUCGGCAGUUCGACUCUGCCUAUCAGCACCA